UAUUUUGUCUCUAUAGUCGAGUUGACUAGCCGUGGUCUCUAAAUAUGAAGUUUCUACACCUCGUAAUGCUGUUAAUCUUCAGCAGUGUGGUCGCCAACGCUGUUUCAGUUCUAUCGAGUUGGAAGCCCCAAACUCAUAUAAAAGGAGGACGUGAAAUUAAAUGCAAAUAUAAAAAGUUAUGCAAGUAGCAAUGGAAGAUGAAACCAUCAUAUUUUUAUAGAAUA